rnacentral:tRNA from 1 species
GGACACUUGGUAGAGCGGUUUAUUACACAUCUUUGCUAAAGAUGAGGUGUUAAUAUCAUCCACAGGUUCGAAUCCUGUAGUGUCCUCCA